UUCAAAUUGUGCAAAACGUAUAAAACUCUCUUCGGAUGAAUCCAAGGAGCUAUCACGUAGCAAUAUAUCUGAGCUUCCUGAUGAAAUAUUACUAAUGAUACUAAAAAACUUGGAUCUGAUGACGUUAUGUCGCUUGAAUUAUGUAAAUAGACGCUUCAAUGAUUUGAUACGAGACCCACGACUCUAUACACGGUUAAAUAUACACUGUUCACCUUCC